rnacentral:rRNA from 1 species
CUAGCUGUAAAAUAUUAACCCACACCACAAACUCGCCAGGGAAUUACGAGCCCAAGCUUAAAACCCAAAGGACUUGACGGUCUCCCACCCCCCUAGAGGAGCCUGUUCUAUAAUCGAUUUUCCCCGAUCAACCUCACCACCUCUUGAACAUACAGCCUGUAUACCUCCGUCGCAAGCUUACCCUAUGAAAGCAUAUUUAGUGAGCUUAAAGAUUUUACACCCACACGUCAGGUCAAGGUGCAGCCCAUGAGCUGGAAAGAAAUGGGCUACAAUUUCUACUUUAGAACAGACGAAAGACUGCAUGAAACACAGUCAUUGAAGGCGGAUUUAGUAGUAAAAAGAAAAUAGAGAGUUCUUUUUAAUUGGGCACUAGGAUGCGUACACACCGCCCGUCACCCUCUUCAAACAAUAAUUUUUUAGCGUUUAUAACCUCAUGUAUUUUUACAGAAGAGGCAAGUCGUAACAUGGUAAGCGUACUGGAAAGUGCGCUUGGAACAAAAUGUAGCUUAAUAAAAGUAUCUUGCUUACACCAAGAACAUGCCUGUAAAAAUCUGACCAUUUUGAGCCUAAAACCCAGCCCUAUUUUUAGCAAAUGCAACACCCACUAACAAAGAACUAAACUAAAACAUUUUCUUAACCAAGUAAAGGCGAUUAAAAAGUUUAUAGGAGCCCCAACACCAGUACCGUAAGGGAAAAGUGAAAUAAAAUUGAAAUAAAUUUAAAGCAUAUUGAAGUAGGGGUUAAGCCCCGU